AGGUGGUGGUGGAGAGGGUGGCGGCGGCGGUGGUGGUUCCGCUAUCGGAGCUGGUUCAGGCUACGGUUCUGGAUAUGGUUCGGGUAGUGGUUCAGGGUAUGGUGGUUCUGACGGGUAUGAAAGUGGUGGAGGUGGAGGUGGGAGUGGCGGAGGAGGUGGCGGUGGUGGGGGAGCUGGAGCAUCCGGGUCUGGAUCAGGCUACGGUUCAGGAUUUGGAUCCGGGUCAGGAUACGGGUCAGGAAGUGGAGGCGGGAAAGGAGGCGGUGGAGGAGGGGGCAGAGGCGGAGGAGGAGGCGGAGGCUCUGGGUCCGGCGUCGGGAGUGGCUCCGGAUACGGAUCAGGGAGCGGAAGUGGGUACGGAAGCGGGAGUGGUGGUGGCAAAGGAGGUGGGGGAGGAGGAGGAGGCGGUGGAGGAGGAGGAGGCGGAGGCGGCGGGACUGGAGUUGGUUCAGGAUCCGGAUCCGGAUAUGGGAGCGGAAGUGGAUCGGGACAUGGAUCAGGAUACGGCGGCGGAGAGGAGGGUUUACCCUGAAGUUGAAGAAAUAACCUAGUUAAUAAAGUAGGCUAGGAUCAACGAGUGCAAUUAAAUAUGAAUAAAAAUAGCAACGCCCCAUCCACUUGGUGGACGUUGCAUGUGUGCGCAUGUACUUCUCUUCCUCUCAUUUGAUGUUUCUACUCUUAUCAAAUAAAGCCCCUCUCUUUCUAUAUUCUCCCGUGACCCGGUUAACAAAAUUACUAUGAUAGCUUAUUAUUUUUCACUUAAAAUUUAAACGAAAUAUUUUGACAUCAAUUAAUUUUAUAUUAGGUAGAAUUCGAAAUCUCAAUGAGGGAGGACGAAAGAAUAAAAAAGCUCAAAUCUAACUCCAUAUUCUUUUAAGGUUAAGAGGUGUAUACAAUCCCCAUAUCGAUCAAUAUAAUGUCGCGAUAUUAUCGGCAUUCGGCGAUUUUUCUCGAUAUAUCACAUAAUCAACGCGGGUCAAUGGAAGUCAAAAGCGUUAUAGUAAAGUCAAAUGUGCUACAGUGCGCCUCCCCCUUUGCUUCCGGAUAUAUAUAUAUAUAUAUAUAUCAUAAUCUAUUUUAUAUUAUUUAAUAAAAUUAAAUUAAAUGGAUCAUAUUUUAAUAUUAAUGUAUAUAUUAAAAUGAGACAUAUUAUAAUCAAAUAUCAUAAUAUUAUAUGUAAUUUAAUAAUAAAUGUACACUUAUAAAAUUCAUAUUUUUAUCGAUGCAUACGAUAUUAUUAUCAAAUAUGAUAAAUCAUGUUAUACACAUAUCAAAAUUUUCAAUAAAAUAACUUUAAAAUGUCUAUUAUACUUCUAAUUAUAUUAUUAUGAGGUUUUCUUUAUAUUUUCAUGAGUUUUUAACAAUUUUAAACUUAUCGAUAUUUUUUUCCAAAAUAUCCGCCGAUAUAUCCUCGAUAUAUCCGAUAUAUCUGUAAAAUCGAAGUACCGAUAUAUCCGUAAUUACCGAUAUUUUCAUCCUUACUUAUAAUCUUGCAAGGAAUCCAUAACUUGAAUUUUUGCUAUAAAUCCCGAUACACUCAAGUUAUAUACAAUGCAAAUGAUGUAUAUAUGAAUACUUAAAUAACAAAUAAUGCAAUCAAGGAUUAAAAAAACAGAGACCAAAAAUCAUAACAUAUAAACAUAUUAAUGAAAUCUUCUUCUAUUAUAUCAUGUCGUACUUUCAAAGGUUCUAUAUUAAGAGAUAUUAUUUUUAACAAAGUGAUCAAUUGAUACGGAAUAAUCUUAAAAUUAGGAAUAUGGAAUGUUUAUACUUUCACUUAAUCCAUAUAUUUAUUUGAAAUUGAAUAAUUAAACAAGUAAUUAAGAUUUUCAAGCAAUGUGUUAGUCCCAUCAAGGGACAACUCUCUCUCACUCUCCUCUAUAUUUUCUAUGGCAACAUGCAACAUAUAUAAUUAAUGUAAUAAAUUACAUCAAUUGAGGUGUUAAUAUACUUACUAUAUUAGUUAAUUGAUACAAAUACCAUAACAUUAUUUACAUGCAUAAAGAGAAAAGACAUAUAUUGUUAUCCAAAGGUGGUUUUGAAACCUCUAAACUUAAACAGAUAUUUCUCAUUAACCAAAUAGGUAUUUAGGCGUGAUCAACACACAAUGAAUUUAAUCAAAAGUUAUGUCAAACCCAUUGUUUUUAAGCAUACAAGAUGCAAGUGUCAAGCAAGAAACCGCAUGCAUUGUGGGAGGCUCCCCUCCACGUGUCCCUUUUCCAAAUCAGGCACCUUGUUCAACUAGCGGGCAUACAACCUGUCUGGAUCAUUCCAUAUGGAUCACGACCAGCUCCAUCUGGCACCAAUCAUAAAGAGGUCAUUUUCCCCUAUAGGGCCAGACGACAAGGAGAGACCAGACUCUCCAAGCAAACAGAACUAUCUGAUCAAGCCUUCAAAACCUACUAGCAUGCGUGAUCAUUCGCACCUGACAUGGGAAUGGCUGAUGAGACCUCUUCUAGCCCUCAAGCCUGUGUCGAUUAAAUGCUACACAUAGCCCCAGACCAACAACAGGCUGAGGGGACAAGCGACUGCACGGUCUGACAUUAUGGCACGUCAAUUGAUGGCACCUACCAGCCACCCAAAACUGUGAUGAUUGUCCAACCGCCUGCAGGACAAUCAUCAUUAUAGAAGAAAGUCAAAAAGAUUAGUCAGCACUACAGUGACAUUCUCAUCAGCAUUAUAAAAACCUUCCAAAAGCAUGAAUAAAGUACGCAAGAGAUACGCCUACUCACUCUCUCCCAUUAAGAUCGUUUGAACUGUCUUUGUCUGACUUAAGCUUCGGAGGGGCAUGCCCGGACCACCUGUUCGGACAUCCUUUUGUGUAGGAAAUGAGUUCACCCAGUCUCACUACUGUUGGGCAAAUACUCUAAGAGACACAACGAAGAGAGGAAGAUUGUCUAACCUCCAUUGAGCUGGACGAAUCCGACGCGGGUUGGCUCUGAAGCAACAUGCAUGACAACUUAACAUGAUCUCAUUCUCAUAGUGUACCAUGCAUAGGCAUUCUCAUAUUCAUGCAAACUUUCAUGGAUUGUUUAUGAGCCGUAAGUACCACUACACAUGAUCCCAUCAAACUUAUGUUAUUUGGGUUUAAGUUUGUCAUGGAUGUACACAUUGUAUCAUAUAAGAUGUACAUAUUUUUACAUAGGAUAUACAAAUUUUAUCAAAGCAUGCACUUAACAUAACUAAGAGGUACAAACUGAUCGCUUGUUCUGCUCCAAAUCAUCAUGUCAUGUUUAUGAAGGCACUUGGAAACAUAUAUUAAUUUUGAUAUCAUAAAAAUCAUACUGAAAAAAAAAUGUAUCUAUUUUAGUAUAUAUUUUGUUACAUGCCUGUUAUGGUUAAUAUAUAAGUAAUAUUUCCUUUUGUUUAUAUUUUCAUUUCAUGAUAACACUCAUUAUUAAAAUCAAUAGAUCUAACAUGGUUGUGAGCUAGUACCAGUUUCAUUAACCUCCCCUUCACUUUUUUUAUGCCUUCUUUCUUGAUUGAUAUAAGAUAAACCCAUCCCCAAACGACAACUCGGUCCCUCUCUCCACUCUUUCACUCUUUGCAUGAAAGAUGGAAAUAUAUGGAUCUAUCUGUCCAUAUAUGAAGUUUGAGAGAUUAGUAAUUUCGUAUACGGAAGCAUGAAAUUUUCAGUGUUGGAACUCUUGGGCAAAAUCUUCCCCCAAGUCAAAAGUGGAAGAAUAUAUUAUAUAGUUUACAGAAUCGAAUGAAGACACGAAGGAAGAAAAUGGUGACACCAUCUCCACCAACACCAACACCACUAAUUCUCCGCACACAAUUUCCAAUCCCCAUUGUAAAAUACUCUCAAGUGCAGAUGAAGCUACUAGAUUUUCCACCUUGAAAAUGCCUAUAUAUUCUCACACUGCCUUGCCAACUUCACUCACAAUUCAGUCCUACCAGUCUGAUUCAUUCAAUUAAAGUUGUUUCCAGAAUGGGGAGGCUGUCUCGGGUGAUAGGAUUUGCAUUAUUGCUUUUGCUUCUUCUGGAGCUCUCCGCUGCUAGGACCUCCAAGAAGAUAGGUGUUAAUGGAGGAGGUGGGGGAGAGGGUGGUAGUGGUGGCGAAGGUACGGGACUUGCAGAUGGUUCCGGGUAUGGUUCAGGAUAUGGGUCAGGUGAAGGAUACGGAAAUGGUGGUGAANNNNNNNNNNNNNNNNNNNNNNNNNNNNNNNNNNNNNNNNNNNNNNNNNNNNNNNNNNNNNNNNNNNNNNNNNNNNNNNNNNNNNNNNNNNNNNNNNNNNNNNNNNNNNNNNNNNNNNNNNNNNNNNNNNNNNNNNNNNNNNNNNNNNNNNNNNNNNNNNNNNNNNNNNNNNNNNNNNNNNNNNNNNNNNNNAGGGAGAAGGAAGUGGUUAUGGAAGCGGGAGCGGUGGGGGCAGAGGAGGAGGUGGAGGAGGAGGAGCAGGUGGAGGUGGUGGUGGAGGUCGAGGUGAGGGUGUUGGAAAUGGGCAUGGGUCUGGAUACGGAAGUGGAUCUGGUUAUGGGUCAGGAUCCGGCGACGGAGGGGAAGAUUCACCAUGAGGCAUAAUCAAGUACGAGUACUACUACUUAAUAACGGCAUCAUUCACCCUGUAAAUUUCAAAUAAAUUUGCCUUGAUCUCGGUAAGACAAAUAAAAAGUUGCCUUCUCCAUGUAAAAUGGUAUAAUGUAAUACCUCCUAAUGAUGAAAUAUCAAACAUGGUUUUUUAGUAUUAACUUAUUUGUUUUCUCCCAUCUUUUGCCCUUUUUCCUUUUAGCUUUUUGCUUUUAUCUUUUUUAGAUAAGAUAGUUUAAUUCGUUAGCCUAAUCAAGUGUUCUUCUUUUUUUUCUUAUUUUAUUUUAUGUCAUCACAUAAUGCCUGGCACAUUAUUUCUAUUUUUUAUUUUUCUUUUUCGUUUUUUAAU
rnacentral:lncRNA from 1 species